UACGGGGGGAGCAAGCGUUGUUCGGAUUUACUGGGCGUAAAGGGCGCGUAGGCGGCCACCGCAAGUCGACUGUGAAAUCUCCGGGCUUAACCCGGAAAGGUCAGCCGAUACUGCGGGGCUAGAGUGCAGAAGGGGCAACUGGAAUUCUCGGUGUAGCGGUGAAAUGCGUAGAUAUCGAGAGGAACACCUGCGGCGAAGGCGGGUUGCUGGGCUGACACUGACGCUGAUGCGCGAAAGCUAGGGGAGCGGACGGG
rnacentral:rRNA from 1 species